GUUUUUAUGUCCGGGUCUUUCGGGUGCGUGCCUCGGCUUAGCCUGAACAAGAACCCUUCCGGUGUUACCGCUACUCCACGGAGAGAAGAGAGGGAGAGGAGAGGCGUAGGCCGAGGCCUUUCCGGACGCGACACCAGUCUCGCGUAGUGUGAGGGAGACGACGGCGCGUGGCGGCCUAGGCCUGAGUGUACAGCCACCGGUGGCCGCCACUCGUCCGGGACUGCCGGUUCCUCGUCAGGGUCCUUGGACUGAUACCUCAACAAUCAUACGUGGUACAACCUUAUGAUACACUUUUAGAACUUUCCAGCUACCGUAAGAUGGUCCUGGAGGAACCAGAAUUCCACUUAGGACGAUCCGGUUUACUGUUCGAAGGCAUGUCUCCACGAACCGAGACCCAACCAAGACUCUACUAGGUGAACUACCUCGACGGUUUAGGUCUAGGUGACUGUCCUGCGGGUCUCGUACCACCCGCACUAGCAGUAUGGACAUAUCGUUAGUCUCUACAGAACUUCAACUUUCUUUAGAAACUGUUUCGACCUUAGUCGAUGUGCGAGUCGUUUAGGCCCGCUGGUCGCUAGAAACGUGCUCUGGGCCUACCUUUGCGCAACCUUAAAUGUGUUCACAUUGUUCACUCUCAGUUUAAAGGUUGAUCUUGUGUGGAGUGUCUUACCACGAACAUUCUAAUGACAUAGGUUCUGGAACAACGUCCAGAACGACAGAUCGUUUGUUCUAGACCGACCCCGUUAAGACGAACACGGAACAUGUAUGGUCAGUUCUUUAACUCUACAUAGAUAGUGUACUACUAUUUGACCGUAAAUUUUACAAUCGGUUAAACCAGACAUCAUCACUAACUCAUAAUGACUUACUGUACCCAUACCUGUUUACUUAUAACAUUUAAGGAAGGUGUAAUACUAUGAAUGUAGUCUAAACUUACGCGAUGCAAAAGACUAUAGUAACAGUCACGGAAGAUUUAUAGAGAACCUUGUUCGUACUUUUUUUAUUAGGAUUAGGGUAGGCUUUCGACAUACAGGACUUGACCCUAAGAAGGAUACGAAAGUACCUUCUAGUCAUCGAGUAGUGUAAUGUCUUCGGGCGCAAAACUGUACCACUUGUCUGGGGAUCUCCUUACAUUGCGACCCCACCGGCGGUACCUCCUCCAGCACUCGUUAGGACAGGGCGAGGAACAGCCGGCGACGCCUGUCGUGACCUAACCGUCGCCGCUGGUGCAGCCGCAGCAGGACGACCCUCUCAAGCCUGACCUUCAGCCGCAGCUCGAGGAGCGGCGACGCAAGCGUCUUCAACACGUCGUGCGUCGUCCGUGGCUAGUACAACACCUCCAGGCCGUCGAACCCGAGCCACGCCGCGACGUCCGUCGCGGUGGCGGGGAACUCGGAGACCUUCCGCGGGACACGACGACGCGCGCGCCGCCGCUACGCGAGCAACUUCCGCACGACGCGGGUACAGUCCAAGACCACGCGCAUGCCGUGCUCGUAGGUCAGGCACUCGCCCAUCGAGCGCGGCGGGUGGUCGGCCGUGACCAGCAGAGGCUCGUACGGCCAGAGCGUCGCCCGCACGUCGCGCCUGGAGAGCUCGUGCCGCCGCAGCCUGUCGCUCGGUCCCUCCGGCUACGUGUGCAGACACUUCCGCGGCAGUCGCAGGUGCUGCCGGACGUGCCGCUGCCUCAUCCUCCGGAACAACAAGGCGAGGCACUCCGCCGCCAACAUCAUGAGCCGGUGCAACAGGAACCCACCCGGCUACCCCUACACCAGCCACAUGUGCCUCGGCUGCUGCGGCCCCUUGGGCCUGUCCCGGACCUUGGACCGCCGCCCCCUAAGGUCACCGGUCGCCUGCCGGAACCCGUCCUCCUGCCGCCACUCCCGCCGCGUCUGGACCUCCUGCUACAACACCGUCCACCUCUACGGCUCUGGCUUCGCCGCCCUCUGGAGCGCCUCCCCGAGGGGCCACCGCUCCGCGGUCUCCGUCUGGCGCUGCGCGACCACGUGCCCAUACCGUCGCGCGUCGCGCCACAGGAGGAACCGCUGCCGCCGCGACUCGAGCAGCGUCUCGCGCAGCUUCCACCGCGCGCUGUACGCCUUCCGGACCGCCUUGAGCCGCAGGCCCGUGCGGCCCGGCGACUCCGCCAGGGUGGUGAGGCACGAGGCGAGGGAGUGGGUGUGGGCGGCCGGGGGCGAGGAACGGCGACCGCGACGCAGCGGCGGCGACACCCGUCCGCUCCACCCGCCGCUCGGGACGUGGAAGGAGGACUGGCGGCCGCCGGCGCUGCUCGGCAGCAGAGGGCGCCCCUGCUUCGGCGCGAAGGAAGGAACUGGUCAGUAAAGGCGACCACCGCGGCGCCGGCCGCCACCGUUGCCGCGCCGCCGCACAGGCUUCUUCCGACCGCGCCGGAGCCGCGGCGGCAUCAUUCCCUUCUGCAGCCCGCGCCGCCGCUCCAGCAGCAAGUACUCCUUCCGCUCCUCCCUCCUCACCAGCAGCCGUCGACGACCCGGCAGCUUCUCGCUACCUUCUCCCCACUUCCCGCACUCCAUCCACGAGUACUAGGCUAGCCAGAGCAGCUCAGAACCGACCGCCUCGAUCGAGCUAGCCGCCGCCGUGAGGCUUCAUGUCAUGACCGUCAGCCCACGAAGUCACUCUGCGCCCUACUCCUCCUAUAUACUAGCUGCUCCUCCUCCUCCUCCUCCUCU
rnacentral:rRNA from 1 species